GGAUGACCGUUGGAUGCUUAUCUUCGAUAAAUAAAAAAAUAUAAAAACACCGAAAAUGGGUGGUGUGGGAUUGAUGGCGGCUAACUCCAUCGUAAGGCCACCGUCACCGGGAAGAGGAAGUGAAGUCUUCGUGGCGGCAGUGCCGUUAACUGCCGCCAAGGGACCACCGCAGUUAGUUAUGUCCGCCGCCUACUCUUUAUCUCUUUCUUGGGAUUUACAACACUUCAUGGUCCUCUCAACCUUACCCACUCUUCCUUCACAGGUGUUGGUCUUUGAUUUUCAACCUCAAGAUCCUGAAAAUGUAUAUGCAGCACUUGCAGCUCUAUCUGGCAGGAAAAUACCUGGAGUUUUGCUAACCAGGAAGAUGAAGAAGUUGCCAAACAUGAGGUGUUGGAAGGUGGGAUCUUGCAAUGUGGAUGUUGAAGAUGUGAUACAUGGGUUUAACAGCAGUUGGGAUACUGAUUUGAUCGUCGGUCAGCAUGAUUGUCGACAUUACACGAAUGGUUUGGUGGAAUGCCUCACUGGCGAGAAGGAUGUGUUGGAUCGUCUGAGAAGAAGUCGAACGAGUACAUUCCCCAUGGUAUGAAUUCAGUGUUUCAACUAUUGAUGAUAGGAAAACAAUGGGACGAAAAGAAUAUAUUCUUUAAGGGACUACACCACUUUAUCUCCAGCAUGGCGCCUACAUCAACAGAUUACAUCCAGAAACUUCUAGAAGCUUCUGGAAGGAAUCGCAGGUGACACCAAAGAUGCUCUCCCAAACAAAAAGGACAACACGUGUCACCAAUAAAUAGACGCCAGCUGGACCUGCAAGAUAUUCCUAUGACAGGCCAGCAGCCACUGCAAGAAUUCUCUUAACUAGACGAAUGAAGAUGCGCCAUGUCAUCCACUAGUAUGGGAAUGACAGAGGAGAGCAAGAGGAUAUUCCUUUUGGUCGGACAGCCGGCGCUCGAUGGCAGCUGGCAAGGUGUUCCUUCCUUCCUUCAUCCUUCAGCUAUAAAUAGAGGACUCCUCCUUCAGGUUUAACAUUCUGCUCUCUCUAUUUCACCUACAACACACAGUAUUCUCCUCAGAACAGUACUUAUUCUCACGCCGGAUGGUGGUCACAAGGAGAACCCCCCCUAUUCCCCUCCUUGUGGCGAGUCACCGGUGUUCUGUUUUGCAGGAAUCCAUCGAUUGGCGAGUGGAAAAAGAGAUUAAAUAUUUAAUCACGUGACAACCCAGCUGGAUAACCUAGUGUUAACCAGUGUUUCAUCAAUGUAUCACAAGUUAGAACUUUCGUGAUGAUCCACAAGAUUUUAACCAAACAAAAUUAGCCCGUGGGUUGAUAUCGUUUUCACUAAAACUGUUUAUUAUAACCUUUUUCUGGAAUGGCAGGCUAUUUGAAAAAAAACGAGCAAGAUGUUAGCAAUGUUUUAAAAACCGGUUUAAACCGGCCGGUUGUACCGGUUAAACCGGAUGCCGGAUGCUUGGCCGGCACGAAUCAUACCAGUAAAUUAAGGAAACGGCAAAGAAGUUGUACCGCCAGUAAAUUGGGAUAUACCGGUUUAAACCGGUAUACCGGUACCGGUUCAUACCGGGACAAAGGUCAAAAUUUUAAACUUUUAAUAUUUAGGUGCCUAAAAAAGUUGAUUAUUUACCUUCUUCGUUAAAGUGUAAAACUUAGCGUUCACAAUUGACAAACCAUAUCGAUCAAACUUCUGCCUCACUCAAAGAUAGAAAAUCAUUGGGUUUUUCAAAUUAAAUUUUUCAACGGAUCAUCUAGGUUUACCUUCUUUUAACUUUUGACUUUUGUUCAAUCACUUAUGUUGUUAAUUGUUAUAGUGUUUGCUAAUUGCUAUAUAAUAGGUAUUUAAUCAUAAACUUUUGGAUUAUUUUUUUUUAUUAUGGAUUAACUUUUGGAAUAU